AUUUUAAUUUAAGUAAUUUAAAAAAAAUAUUAAUUUGUGGAAUUAAAAAUAUGAUUAAAUAUCAUCUUAAAUU
rnacentral:tRNA from 1 species